GUUAGGAAUAUUGGACAAUGGGCGCAAGUCUGAUCCAGCCAUGCCGCGUGAACGAUGAAGGCCUUCGGGUUGUAAAGUUCUUUAGCCGAUGAUUAUAAUGACUGUAGUCGGAAAAUAAGCCCCGGCUAACUUCGUGCCAGCAGCCGCGGUAAUACGAAGGGGGCGAGCGUUAUUCGGAAUCACUGGGCGUAAAGCGUGCGUAGGCGGUCUCGUAAGUUAGGAGUGAAAGCCCAGGGCUCAACCUUGGAAUUGCUCUUAAAACUGCAAGGCUAGAAUCUCGGAGAGGAUAGCGGAAUUUCCAGUGUAGCAGUGAAAUGCGUAGAUAUUGGAAGGAACACCAGUGGCGUAAGCGGCUAUCUGGACGAGUAUUGACGCUGAGGCACGAAAGCGUGGGGAUCAAACAGGAUUAGAUACCCUUGUAGUCC
rnacentral:rRNA from 1 species